rnacentral:rRNA from 1 species
GGCGGCAUGCCUUACACAUGCAAGUCGAACGGCAGCACGGGGGCAACCCUGGUGGCGAGUGGCGAACGGGUGAGUAAUACAUCGGAACGUGUCCUGUAGUGGGGGAUAGCCCGGCGAAAGCCGGAUUAAUACCGCAUACGAUCUACGGAAGAAAGCGGGGGAUCCUUCGGGACCUCGCGCUAUAGGGGCGGCCGAUGGCAGAUUAGCUAGUUGGUGGGGUAAAGGCCUACCAAGGCGACGAUCUGUAGCUGGUCUGAGAGGACGACCAGCCACACUGGGACUGAGACACGGCCCAGACUCCUACGGGAGGCAGCAGUGGGGAAUUUUGGACAAUGGGGGAAACCCUGAUCCAGCAAUGCCGCGUGUGUGAAGAAGGCCCUCGGGUUGUAAAGCACUUUUGUCCGGAAAGAAAACUUCUGCCCUAAUACGGUGGGAGGAUGACGGUACCGGAAGAAUAAGCACCGGCUAACUACGUGCCAGCAGCCGCGGUAAUACG